UCAGUGGAAGAUGGAACUAGACGUAUACUCUCCCCUUUUAGCCCUCUGAUUCAAUUCUGCACAGCAUCUCAGAGAGUCUCCAGGAGGCUGUCAGAUCAAGGACCAGUUGGCCACAGUGAUGAGCAGUUUGUUGAAGAAAAUGUACUUCCAAAGUCAUAGAGCCGGGUAAAUGGCAGCACUUCAAUUAGGAUAAUCAUCGUCAUGACCAUAAUCAUAAAUGUUGCUGUCAUUUAUUGUGUACACACUGAUGACCACAUCUGGGGUGAGCACCUUACGAAACAUCUUGUUCCUUGGGUGAAGUCUUCUGAAACAUGGUCUGGUACAGCUUAAUGUCACCAAAAUCAAUCCUGUUGUCCAAGUAAUAAA